UACGAAGGGGCUAGCGUUGCUCGGAAUCACUGGGCGUAAAGCGCACGUAGGCGGCUUUUAAGUCAGGGUGAAAUCCUGGAGCUCAACUCCAGAACUGCCUUGAUACUGGGAAGCUUGAGUCCGGAGAGGUGAGUGGAACUCCGAGUGUAGAGGUGAAUUCGUAGAUAUUCGGAAGAACACCAGUGGCGAAGGCGGCUCGCUGGACGUAUGACGCUGAGCGCGAAGCGUGGAGCACAGG
rnacentral:rRNA from 1 species